GAGUUUUUUGGGGUCAACCGCUCUGGGACGCUCCUGGCGCACUGCCCGCGUCGUGCGUUGUGGGCAGCAACUGUGGAGGGGCCGGCCGGUGCGUGUGCACUCGGUUUCUGCACUCACCUUUGGCCUUCCGCGAUGACGGGUGGCCCGGCGCUGCUCCUGGUCCCGCUCCGUCGGCUGUCCUGGAUGCCGUUUCGUCGGGGUCGUGGUGCGAGCGAACCUGUCCUCGCACGCCGCGCAUCGUGCGGCCCGUCAUGGGCAGCCUCAAAUCACAACAACCACGUCCCUCCCUGCUCCCUCCCUUGUCCGUCGCCGCACCCGUUCUUCUCCUGCUCUCUCUCUCUCUCUUCUGCGAUGUUCCUCCUUCCUAUUGGCGCGCCUCGCCCCGUCUUCCACCUUCACGUUCAUCUUCAACACCCCCUCCUCGGCUAGAUGGCACCUCUGGGGGUGAAGGAGCAGGGGAGGGCCAAGAGGCCAGCGGUGUGGGGUGGAGCAGCGAGGCCGGCAGCCCAGACGGCGGACGCCUCAUGGGAUGGAGGAGAGGCCAGCGAUAGGGAAGGAUCAGAAUCCUCAUGGAGCGCAGGGAAGGUGAAGUCCCGACGGCUGAAGAUGGUGCGCACGGGAGGAGCUCAGGUGAUGUCAAGGGUAGUUAUGCCUCCAUGCAUUCCAUAACAAAAUGCAUAUAUGUCCUGGAGGUAGGAUUUCAGCUUCAGAUUGUCAUCAAGUUUGUUGAAUUUAUCGUUCCAUGUUGGAACAGUGUACUUUCACGAGUAUUUUUCUACUGAGUACAUACAAUACUUUCACACCUAUGUUGUAUUAUAUUCCAACUUUACAAGUACCUUGUGCUUUUGCUCUUGUAUUCUUUCUAAAUGCUCCACAAGUCCUGCACUAAUUUUUUCAACAAAAUAAUUAAGUGAAACAUGGCUCUGAGCUAUUGCCAUAUGGUAGCUGUAUGGGCUCUACGUGAGUUUAGCAGUCAUAUUUUCUUUAACUGUUGGUAAAAGUCUUAAGCUCUGCUACUUUAGAAUUUUCUGAAAUACAAACAAUAGCCAUAGUUCCAUAUGCAUUUCUUUGAUUGUAAUUUCUUGUUGGUACCUUACCAAGCAGGCCGCUUGGUGCGUUUCUAUCUUACCUGCUGCCAUCAAACUGAAGCCACAAAUCCAGUGGAUUUUGUUUCUGUUAAAUCAUAUUACGUCCAGAAAUGUGAGCUUAUAUCCGCUGCAUCUUUAGGGAGGUCUUUUUUUAUGCUGAAAAUAAUGUGUGUGCUUAUCCCAUUAACUUGAGUGUGUUAUUACAAGUUGAAGGGGUAUGAAUGGUCCACAGCUCAGCUGCCUGUUGUUUCUGUAAGAAAUUACUUUCUUCAUUAUUGAUUGCUCAUGAUUAUUCUGUCUUGAAUAAACAUAUGGUGUGGCACUUUUCAUAUAAUGAUUUUAUAUCUUUAUGGUCCCAAAAUCAUGCUGUUGAUUUACUUUCGUGUUAUUUCAUUAUUUUGGCUUUGAAAAGCAAUAGUAUAGUAUAUCCAUGGAGUAUAAUAGGUUUAUUUGUUUGUUCUAUCAAGCCCGUUUUAUUCCAUUUGCAUGAGCAUAUACCAAACUUUUUUAAUGCUCGCUCGUGAACAAGAUGAGAGCACUGGUUAUGUAUUUCCAAACAAGGCUUUGACUGAGAUAGGUAUUACUGAUUUCUUUGGAUUGCUAUGCUGCAAAACUUGAUGUAUUGUCUCGGCUAACUCUCCUUUUUUUAUUCAAAAGCAAAGAAGAUUCCUACAACUGCUGCAGAUUUGCGAAGAAUCGUGAAAUCAGAAUAUCCAUGUAUCAAAAGCAAAAAAGAUGCCUACGACUACUGUAUACUCCCUCUGUUCCUAAAUAUUUGUCUUUUUAGAGAUUUCAGAUGGACUACCACAUACGGAUGUAUAUAGACAUAUUUUAGAGUGUAGAUUCACUCAUUUUGCUCCAUAUGUAGUCACUUGUUAAAAUCUCUAGAAAGACAAAUAUUUAGGAACGGAGGGAGUAGGAAUGAUGUUCUAUAUUGCUGCCACAUGAGAAUAUAUAUCGUAGUGCUCUGAAUAUAAAUUAAAAUGUUACUCGGGUCCUUGGUUAAUGCAUUGUUUUUCCUUUCCCAUCCAGAAUGAUAUUUGAAGAUACGAAAUUAGUACGAGAUCGCUUUAGGGGGUUUAAACACUUGGAUAAGAUUAAACACAUGUUGUACCAAAUUGGCAGUCCUUCAUCCGAAUUUUCUUGAUAAUGGUACACCAUUUGGCAAUGGGUUCUCUAAAAAACUUAAAAUUCCACUAGAUAUUAUUUAGAUAUAAUGGAAAAGGGAUCAGAAAUGCGGUUUGCAUGACCGAAAACAUCCUUAACAUAUGGUUGUUCAUUAUACUCUGGGGUAGUGAGAUCGGUUAGUAAUGUUACACAUAAUAUAUUUUUUGCAGUUGUGUCCCUCACUCUCUUAAGCAUGUUUUUGUUGUAUACUGGUUAGUUGUCACGAUGCAUGUAUUUGAGGCUGUCAUCGGGUCUCCACUAUUGUACAUUUGUCUUGCCACUUUGUUGUUCAAAUUAUUUUUUAGGAAACUAUUUGAACUCUUUUGAAGGCCAUUUGCUCUUACUGCUUUUCUUUAUAAGUUUCUUCAUAAUGGCACUUUCCACCUGGAAAAAGCAUCAAGGUCAGCGAUCCAGUUUUUGUUCUAUAGGCAUCUCUUCUUUGAAUGAGGCAUGGUAGCAGAUGAUGUAUCUGUUUUAUGUGUGUCACAAGAGGCAUCCGGUUGCUUGACUUUGUACGCACAUUCUGGUUCUUUAAUCUUAGUUGUACAACCUAUAACUAUCCAAUUUAUUCUUUGUAAACCAACUCAAAGUUGUGAAUUGAUGACCACACCUG
rnacentral:rRNA from 1 species